GGGGGAAAGAUUUAUCGGGGAAGGAUUGGCCCGCGUUGGAUUAGCUAGUUGGUGGGGUAAAGGCCUACCAAGGCGACGAUCCAUAGCUGGUCUGAGAGGAUGACCCCCCACACUGGUACUGAGACACGGACCAGACUCCUACGGGAGGCAGCAGUAAGGAAUAUUGGUCAAUGGAGGCAACUCUGAACCAGCCAUGCCGCGUGCAGGAAGACUGCCCUAUGGGUUGUAAACUGCUUUUAUCUGGGAAUAAACCUAUUUACGUGUAGAUAGCUGAAUGUACCAGAAGAAUAAGGAUCGGCUAACUCCGUGCCAGCAGCCGCGGUAAUACGGAGGAUCCAAGCGUUAUCCGGAUUUAUUGGGUUUAAAGGGUGCGUAGGCGGCCUGUUAAGUCAGAGGUGAAAGACGGUAGCUCAACUAUCGCAGUGCCUUUGAUACUGAUGGGCUUGAAUGGACUAGAGGUAGGCGGAAUGAGACAAGUAGCGGUGAAAUGCAUAGAUAUGUCUCAGAACACCGAUUGCGAAGGCAGCUUACUAUGGUUUUAUUGACGCUGAGGCACGAAAGCGUGGGGAUCAAACAGGAUUAGAUACCCUGGUAGUCCACGCCCUAAACGAUGAACACUCGCUGUUGGCGAUACACAGUCAGCGGCU
rnacentral:rRNA from 1 species